CUUUUCUCCUAUUUUCAUGACUUUUUUUCCUAAAGAUUAAAACACUUCAAAAAGGCAUGUCAAUUUACAAUUGUUCUUAGGUUUCUGAAUGCUUCUAAUUUCUCUGUUCUUUAUUGUGUUUGCAAGCCUGAGGUCCUCUAUUUGAGCUAACCUAUGUUUUCUUCUUUAGAUAUCUGCAGCGAUUAUAUUUGGAAAUACUGUAUAUCUGAACACUUAAAUGUGUGUGAGUGCAAGCAGUUUUACCUUUAGCUCUUGUUUUCCUGUUUAGAUAACAAAUCUCACUUUCCUUGUGUGCUUGCACUAUAGGUUUGGGACUGACAAUAGCUGACUAACAUGUCCUGAGCUGUGAGAGGGCAUAGCAAGAAGGCCUUCAUGCGGACCUAGAUGUGAAAGCUGGUGGAGGCUGUGUAAUGACCAUUGGAGAGAUGCUUCGUUCUUUUCUCACAAAGCUCGAGUGGUUUUCUACUUUGUUUCCAAGAAUUCCAGUUCCAGUUCAGAAGAAUAUUGAUCAGCAGAUUAAAA
rnacentral:lncRNA from 1 species